ACCCACCUCCACUCGGGGUCGCCGCCGCCUCCCCGGACGUUUCUCUCCACCCCUCGCUAGCGAGCCCGAGACCACGGGCGCGCGCGCACGGACAUUCUCACGCUUCCCCAACCUCCCUCCGCGCACCACGACGGGCCGGCUUCCCGAGAGCUCAGCCAGACACCGUCCAGGUUAUGAUGGAAACCACAAUGAAAGAGACCUGGUCCCUGUCUUGAAGAACCCACUUGCUGGUAGAGAUUUCAGAGUAACGAUUAGGAUACAAUAUAAGGGAUACCGUAAUUGAGAUUCUGCACCAUAGGUAUUUGAACAGGCACAUCAGGGACAGCUUGACUCUACUUCAAGAUAUCCAGGGCGUCAGAUGAGAAGACUCUUGAAUGACUGGAGGAUGUUUUACUCACCUGUUUCAUGAUCACAGGGGAAGGAAGAAUUACUUAAAUGUAACAUCAAAAGCACAAAUUAUGAAGGAAAAACCUAAUAAAUUUUAA